rnacentral:rRNA from 1 species
UACGGAGGAUGCGAGCGUUAUCCGGAUUUAUUGGGUUUAAAGGGUGCGCAGGCGGAUUUUUAAGUCGGCGGUCAAAUCGUGGGGCUCAACCCCAUCCAGCCGUUGAAACUGGGGAUCUAGAGUGUGCGAGAGGUAUGCGGAAUGCGUGGUGUAGCGGUGAAAUGCAUAGAUAUCACGCAGAACCCCGAUUGCGAAGGCAGCAUACCGGUGCACAACUGACGCUCAGGCACGAAAGCGUGGGUAUCGAACAGG